rnacentral:rRNA from 1 species
AUUGAACGCUGGUGGCAGGCCUAACACAUGCAAGUCGAGCGGAUGAAGGGAGCUUGCUCCUGGAUUCAGCGGCGGACGGGUGAGUAAUGCCUAGGAAUCUGCCUGGUAGUGGGGGAUAACGUCCGGAAACGGGCGCUAAUACCGCAUACGUCCUGAGGGAGAAAGUGGGGGAUCUUCGGACCUCACGCUAUCAGAUGAGCCUAGGUCGGAUUAGCUAGUUGGUGGGGUAAAGGCCUACCAAGGCGACGAUCCGUAACUGGUCUGAGAGGAUGAUCAGUCACACUGGAACUGAGACACGGUCCAGGCUCCUACGGGAGGCAGCAGUGGGGAAUAUUGGGCAAUGGGCGAAAGCCUGAUCCAGCCAUGCCGCGUGUGUGAAGAAGGUCUUCGGAUUGUAAAGCACUUUAAGUUGGGAGGAAGGGCAGUAAGUUAAUACCUUGCUGUUUUGACGUUACCAACAGAAUAAGCACCGGCUAACUUCGUG